GUCAGGUCACACGGGGAAAAAAGCUAGCUGGAGGUUUUAGCGGCGAGCAGGGAGGAUUGCUGAAUCGGGCAUAAACAAACAUUUCCCAGAUCGAUCUGAUGUGUUUCAAUAACCGAUAGUGACAUUAUACUAUGCGGUCACCUCGUUCGCUAGCCAAUACCUUUAUAUUGACCCGAUUAUGGCGGCGGAAGGGGAUACAAAGCCAAAAGAGCUCAACCUGCAGCCUUCGGAAAGUUUAAGCGCAUCUGGACACACAAAGUGUCAGGACGGCAAUAAUGGACUGGUGGUGGAUAGCCCGGAGGAGACGUUCUCUCCCACCUCGGUGAUCUUCUUCAAAGAAGCUUUAAACUCUUGCAAUCUGAGCUUCGGUGGGUCGGUGUCGCCUACCCCCGUCCGCCAGUAUGAGUUCCACAUCGAGCGGAAAAAGAGUAAAACAAAGAUGUGUUUAUUGAUGGGAAUUGGAUGAGUGCUAUUCUCCAUCAUUAUUAGCCUUGGAUGAAUACUCACAGGGAACCCACCUACUUGUCAGCCAUCUUGGUCAACACCCACCUAGUGCAUUCACUGCGGUGCACAAGCAGCCCAAUCAGAGUGAACGGGCACUAAGCUCACAGGAGGCGGGCCGUGAU
ensembl:lncRNA